rnacentral:rRNA from 1 species
AUUGAACGUUGGCGGCAGGCCUAACACAUGCAAGUCGAGCGGAUGACGGGAGCUUGCUCCUUGAUUCAGCGGCGGACGGGUGAGUAAUGCCUAGGAAUCUGCCUGGUAGUGGGGGACAACGUUUCGAAAGGAACGCUAAUACCGCAUACGUCCUACGGGAGAAAGCAGGGGACCUUCGGGCCUUGCGCUAUCAGAUGAGCCUAGGUCGGAUUAGCUUGUUGGUGAGGUAAUGGCUCACCAAGGCGACGAUCCGUAACUGGUCUGAGAGGAUGAUCAGUCACACUGGAACUGAGACACGGUCCAGACUCCUACGGGAGGCAGCAGUGGGGAAUAUUGGACAAUGGGCGAAAGCCUGAUCCAGCCAUGCCGCGUGUGUGAAGAAGGUCUUCGGAUUGUAAAGCACUUUAAGUUGGGAGGAAGGGUUGUAGAUUAAUACUCUGCAAUUUUGACGUUACCGACAGAAUAAGCACCGGCUAACUCUGUG